rnacentral:RNase_P_RNA from 1 species
UUGUGAAAACGGAUAGUCGCUGUUGAUUCGAUCGGCAGAGGAAAGUCCGGACUCCUCGGAGGAAAGUGCCGGAUAACGUCCGGCGGCGCAGAAUUGCGUUAGGGAAAGUGCAACAGAAAGUAUACAGCCUCAGGGCAAUGGUGAAAUGGCGAGGUAAGAGCUCACCGCGCGAACGGUAACGUAUCGCGGCACGGCAAACCCCACUUGGAGCAAGAUCAAAUAGGAAUAAUGCGGCCUCCGCGCUAUAUUAUUCGGGUAGAUUGCCAGACGUUUGCGGCAACGCAAAUGCCAGAUGAAUGACUAUCGGGACUUUAUGUCCUACAGAAUCCGGCUUACAGUUUUCACAAAAAC